GACGAACGCUGGCGGCGCGCCUAACACAUGCAAGUCGAACGGGAUCUAUCAGGAGCUUGCUCCAGGCAGAUCUAGUGGCGGACGGGUGAGUAACACGUGAGCAACCUGCCCUUCAGAGGGGGAUAACGUCUGGAAACGGACGCUAAUACCGCAUAACACCACGAGAUGGCAUCAUUUUGUGGUCAAAGGAGAAAUCCGCUGAGGGAUGGGCUCGCGCCCGAUUAGAUAGUUGGUGAGGUAAUGGCUCACCAAGUCUGCGAUCGGUAGCCGGACUGAGAGGUUGAUCGGCCACAUUGGGACUGAGACACGGCCCAGACUCCUACGGGAGGCAGCAGUGGGGAAUAUUGCACAAUGGGGGAAACCCUGAUGCAGCGACGCCGCGUGAGUGAAGACGGCCUUCGGGUUGUAAAGCUCUGUUGUGGGGGACGAUAAUGACGGUACCCCACUAGAAAGCCACGGCUAACUACGUGCCAGCCGCCGCCGUAAAAC
rnacentral:rRNA from 1 species